GAGAAGCUGAAGGGGGCUGGGGGUUUGGCGAGAGCAUGGCGGGGCUGAGGGGAUGGAGGGGCCAGAUGGGAGCACAGAGGGCUCCGGGACUGCAGCUCUGCCAGGCCUUGGAACCAAUUCCAGAACCUCCACUUUUGCCACAGCUGCAAUGAAGACCACGAGGACCGCCGGAGACUGCCGGGAACCAGCAGGGAGAAGCCGAGGGCCAGCAGCAGGAGCAGGGAGCAGGCCCUGCUGCUGCCAGUCUGGAGAGGGCUUGGAUGUCCCAUCUGCUGUCCCUGUCCAGGAGAGCUGCUCUGCCUGGAGGACGAGACCGAGGGAGCGGCUUCAAAGAUGGGGCAGCUGAGAUUCCUCUGCUUCGAGUUCCAUUUAAAGAGUCUGGACUUGCACAUAGAGAGGGAUAUGUACAUAUGUAGGCUUCUAUUUGUAUGGGAAUAUUCCUGUAUGUUAUUAUAUUUAUGUUUUUAUGGAUGUAUUACAUGUAUAUGUAUGCAUAUAUUUACAUAUAUGUUUAUAAUUACAUCUAUGUGUACAUGUAUGUGUCUCAGUAUACAUGUAUGUUGUUGUAUCUGUUUAAUUUCCUAGGUUUACAGCUGUGUAGGUAUCUAUUUGUGUUUAUGCAGUUAUAGGUAUAUGUAUCUUUAAAUGUUGUUUUGGAAUUUGUAUUGGUCGAUAUGUCUGUUUUUAUAUUUUUAAUGUAUAUUGAUCUAUUUCUUUCUAUUUAAUGAUAUUUACAUAUGUGUCUAGAUGUAUAGCAGUAUGUUUGUAUUGAUACAGUUGGGUGUAUGUUUGGAUUGAUGAUAUUUUUAUACUUAUAGAUAAGUUUGUUUUAUAUAUCUACUGAUAUAUAUAUAUUGUAUGUAAUAUGUAAUGUUUAUAUUUACAUCUGUAGAUUUUUAUACUUUUAUAUGUAUUUAUAUAGAUGUUAUAUAUCUGUGUAUUUAAUUGCAUUUCAACAUGUAUGAAGUGAUGUAGUUGUAUAAUUCUAUCUAUUGUAUUCUUAGUGUAGGGCUGUUUAGAGAGCAAAUGCACAUUUUAGUAUUUCUGUAUGGGCUGUCUGUAUUGCUUGUAGUAAUAUGUAAUAAAUUAAGUUAAGUCCUUAAACACCUAAUUAAUCUUUGUGUAUAGUGAGUUGUUGCAGAGAGUGGCAAUAAAUAAGUGUUUCUUAUCUGAA